rnacentral:sRNA from 1 species
UCCAUAGUGUGCUGGGCCCAAGAUGGAC